CCCACUGGCAUUCUCUCUCUUUCUCUCAAAAAGUGAACAUUAAAAACAAUUACAAAUAAUGUCGAGAUUACAGUCAGCUCCUCUAGAGGAUCCCAACACCUCUGAGUGUAUGAAGAGGUGAAAGUGCAGAGAACACCACCAAGACAGGAUGGAAAUAGAAGGAAAAGAGCAUGAAGGUCUGAAGGGGAAGAGAGGAAAGUCAAAACAGAAAGAAAGGGAGAAAUCCUGAAAAAACAGGGAAAACCAAACGCAGACCAAUGUAAAAAGGAAGGCUGGGGAAGAAGGAGCCAUGGCUUGAGAAAGAAAAGGAGACACCACCAGCGAGAAGGAUCAAGAGAUCUCACGGCAGGCAAGAAAGAAGUUUCCAAGCUGCUAUAAUUCCAGGACAAAAGUUACGGUAUUGGGGGCAUACAGAGUCAACGACUGCCCCAAACUUCCCAAAUGCUUCUGUGCUACUGGAUCCACAAUCAAGAAAAACAAGACCCUGAAAAGCCUCUGCAGCACCAGACCCAAAGCUCCAACCGUCUGUGCUAAGGGCUCAUCCCCCAGGCAUUCUGUGGCCAGGUUUUAAUCCCACAUGAUCCACAGGUGACGGAAAAACCACUGGAGAAGCCUCGACUAUUCCUCUCUUUGGAAGUCGAUUUAGUGAAGCUGGGACAAAGACCGCAAUUAGAGGUUUUGAUUUGAUUACUCACACUUCAGCUACUGCAAAAGCCGAAGGGGAGAAAGAAGGGACACCACCAGAUCUAAUUGGUACUUGCUCUCACCACACUGCCUCAGCCUGGGGACGGGUGGAGUCAGGUCUGCAAGCUGCCCGAUGCGCCACUGAAGACACCUGCUGCUAGCCAACACCAUGAACCUCCCGAAGACAGGCAGUCUAUGUGGCCAGCUCCUGGGCAAGACCUCCGUCACAACCAGCUCGCAGCGUCACAACUAGCAGGCGCAGGCAGCGGCUCCCAGAGGGAGUGUUGCAGCUGCUGGGGCAGGGCGCGCUGAGAGUGGACACCUGCACUGUUUGCUUUUGUUUGACCCCAGACAAAGCCUGGGGCACACACAGAAAGGGGGGACGGGGCUUUCAGUGUAAGAGGCUGCGGAGAGCUGGGCGAGGUCUUAGAAAAUGGAAGCAGGACAGAGCCGGCCUGGGACGGCAAUCUCCUUCACCAACUCACUCUGCUAAGGGGCCAGCUUCAACUUACAGUGACCGAAUCAUUGAUGAGGUUCAGUCAAAAGUUUGAUUUUGACCUUUCAGUUGCUUGUCGUAUCUUAAAAUACACAGAGAUAACAUGAAAAGUU